rnacentral:tRNA from 1 species
GAUCUUGUAGCUCAGUCUGGUUAGAGCGCUGCUCUGAUAAUGAUUGACAUUCGGAUAAAACCAAUGUUGAUAAUUAGAUAGGCAGAGGUCCUCGGUUCAAAUCCGAGCAGGAUCA